UGGGAUUCAACCUAGGUUUGACUGUGUCUCUCUUUCUUCUAGUAGUCAUGGUGUGAGUGUUUUGAGGAUGUAAUUUGAGGCGACUAGCUUCUGGAACCAGGAUCAGAAGAAGAGGAUGAUAAACUAACAAAAGAAUUGGGUUUGGGUUGUUAUGAGGAGAACCAUGUGAGGAGUGUGAGAUAUUGUUUGAAGGAGUGAUU
rnacentral:lncRNA from 1 species